CUAAAGUCUUUUAAGUUGCUGAGAACGAACCACUGGGGAGAGUUUCAUGUCAACUCACUCAAUUCUUUCAGUUCAAGUAUAAAGUCAAAGCAAAUUUUUACCUUAAAAUUUAAAAAUGAAUUUCAGGUGACCAGUUGAUUGACCUCAUACUUUGUUUCCUACUCCUACUUCAGAUGUGUAACUACACGGCCUGGGCCAGUCCCAUCAUCGUGGACAUGACUGAGGUAGCUCUCUGUUCUGAAGAGGACCCACUUAACUUCACCUCCAAAGUCUGUGUGAAUAUUACAGUCCUCCAGAACCUGCUGGCCAAUCAGGACAACCACUGGUUGGUAAACUACUGUGCCAAUCAUUCAACCAUUCCUCCUGGUGGAGGAGGAGGAGGAGGAGGAGCUGGAGCUGGAGGACAGGGCGGAGGACAGACUGUCUUUAACACCUCUGGACAGUGUCUGUACAGCAGCUGGAUCAUGUCUCCCCCAAAUGCAAUGGUCUUGAGCCAGUGCUGGGAGCGUGACCAGGCCCGUUUCCUCUCAUUUAUCUGCCAGAGCAGUGGGCUCCUCUGGCUCUUCUCCCAAGACCUAUCCAAAGCCUGGGUAGGCAGAAUAUGUACGACGUACAACAACUACACCACUACAGCCAACAGCACCAAUGCUACAAGCCCUGAUUUUUGUUUGGCAACAAAUCUGAUGAAACAGUUCAAGUGGACCUGCCCAAACAGCUUCAUCUCAGACUGUCAGCCUUGUGCCACUCAGAACAUGAUGGUGCAGAUGAUCGUUCGCUGCUGGGUGGAGAAUCUGAGCCUCAAGAUUCAGGAUUUGCUGACUACGUCUGUGACUAAAGUGUUGAACCAAGCAGUCGCCACCACUGUGGUGAUCCUCCUGGCUGUGGAGGACUCCCUGGGCCCCAUUUGGCACAUCAAUGAGACCAUUGGACAAAGUGUCCUCGAGUCUGUGUUCAACUACCUGAUGACAGAACCCAACCAGGACAAUAAGAGGGUGGUGCUGCAGUGCUUUGGGAAGUUGAUCGGCAGUUUGCUGCAGACGGCCCGAGAACUGACCACCAACGAUCUCCUUUUUGCAAAGGUUGGACAUCAUUUUAAAUGA
rnacentral:lncRNA from 1 species